CAAUAGCGUAUAUUAAAGUUGUUGCAGUUAAAAAGCUCGUAGUUGGAUUUCUGUUCUUGGGAUCUGGUCCGCCUCACGGUGAGCACUGGAUAACGGGGGACAUCCUCUCGAAGGCGGCAGGUGCACUUGAUUGUGUGUUUGUUGAAUUCGGGACCUUUACUUUGAAAAAAUUAGAGUGUUCAAAGCAGGCGUCGGCUUGAAUACAUUAGCAUGGAAUAAUGGAAUAGGACUUUGGUUCUAUUUUGUUGGUUUCUAGGACCGAAGUAAUGAUUAAUAGGGACAGUUGGGGGCAUUAGUAUUUAAUUGUCAGAGGUGAAAUUCUUGGAUUUAUGAAAGACUAACUACUGCGAAAGCAUUUGCCAAGGAUGUUUUCAUUAA
rnacentral:rRNA from 1 species